rnacentral:lncRNA from 1 species
AGGAGCAUUAAAAGCUGUGCAUAACAGAAACGUAAGAAAGAGAUACAGAGAUUUCCAUCUUGUGGUGCCAUCUAUAAGUCAAGCUGAUAAAGGCAAGAGGCCAAUGAGUUCAAGGAUGGAAUAGUUGUCUACAUACUGAUGUCUCAGAGGCUUUUUCCCUCUUUUACCUGCCUUAGGGCAGGAUUUGGAGUUGUAAAUUCCAGUCUCUUAAUGAAAGAUGGUUUGGUCUUCUGGCCUAAUCUUUUUCUCAAGAAAAAGCACAUUUUAUUGAAGAAAAGGACACUAAUGUUUGUGAGAGAGAACAUGGCUUGAUCAUUUGCGUAUUAAGAGGUACGGAAGUUUCUGAUAUAAAAGUGAAGUUCUCAUUUUCUUCUUCAUGCUUUAACUGCACAUUGAAGAUCCUGACUCCUUGCUGCCUAGAUGAUCGGUAUUGGAUCCUUUUGAUGGUUUCCUGCAUAUACAUAAUAUCUGGUCGGUGUAAUUUUAAUUAUUUUGUCAACUUUCUGGAAAAGUUUCCUAGAUUCUCCUCAAAUCUCCAUUAAGCCUUGUAUAGUAAUGGCUAGCUGAUCCACUAUAGGUACUUGCAGUUUCACAUAACAGUAGCAGCCUAUACAGUCUAGUUCUUUGGUAAAUUUACAGCCUCUAAUGAACAAGAAGUAUUCGAUUACCUCAUAUGCGAAUUUGUGUUUCAGCAGAAGUUUAUUUCUUUGCCUGUUUCUUGUCUCUGAUGGUGGAUUUAAAAUUGAUUUUGGAUUUUUUGGGUCUCAUCCCUUUUGUUGUUAAUAAGAUAGAAAUAAUCUUAGAAUUGGAUUUGGUGAACAGUCUUAAAACUCUUUUUUGGGUGAAAGCGAAGG